AUGAAGGUACAUCUUUUCGGUGCGACAUCAUCUCCAGGGUGUGCAAAUUAUGGUUUAAGGUAUUUGGCUAAAGAACACUGUCACACACACCCUGCAGGAUCUGAGUUCAUGGAAAGGGGCUUUUAUGUGGACGAUGGAGUCACAAGCACAGAUACAGUUGAAAAGGCAAUACAGCUCGCACAAGAGGCCACAGAGAUAUGCAAGCAAGGAGGGCUCCGUCUACACAAAUUUAUCUCAAACAGCCCUGCUGUUCUACAAAGCAUCCCACCAUCUGAACGUGCAAUAGAGAUAAAAAUAAAGGACUUGACAUUCAAAGACAUGCCACAAGAAAGGGCCUUAGGCAUCAAAUGGAACGUUGAAAGAGACUGUUUCAGAUUUGAUAACACUUUAAGGGACCAACCAGCAACACUUCGAGGUAUUUUAUCUACUGUUGCAUCCAUCUACGACCCCCUUGGCUUCCUGGCGCCAUUCGUGCUUCAUGGAAAAAGGAUCUUGCAGGAAAUGUGUCAUCAAGGUAUCAACUGGGACGACUCUCUGCCAGAAGCACUGAGGCCAAGGUGGGAGAGCUGGCAACGUGACUUUGCCAACUUAGACAAGGUAAACAUAACUCGCUGUUACUUUCCUGCUAGUUUCGGAGAACUUAAAGAAAUAGAGUUGCACCACUUUUCUGAUGCGAGUACGAGUGGUUAUGGACAAUGCACCUAUUUAAGAGCCAAAAACGUUAAAGAGGAGAUCCACUGUUCAUUAGUAAUAGCCAAAGCCCGUGUUUCUCCUACCAAGCUAACUACAAUCCCCAGACUCGAGCUAACUGCAGCUGUAGUUUCAGUCUCAGUUAGUAACAUGUUGAGAGAUGAACUCUGCUAUGCUCAAAUCAAAGAGUAUUUCUGGACUGAUUCAAGAGUAGUUUUGGGAUAUGUAAACAAUGAGGUACGGCGUUUCCACACUUUUGUAGCGAAUAGGGUCCAAAAGAUUCGCCAAAGUACAAACCCUCAGCAAUGGUUUUACGUGCCAUCUGAAGAGAAUCCAGCCGAUAGUGCAUCUAGGGGUAAAUCCGUCACUGAGCUUCUCUCGUCUAACUGGUUCACAGGCCCCUCCUUUCUCUGGGAGAGAGACCUGCCCACACCACAAAGUUUAGAGCUAGAAUUGUCUCUUGGUGAUCCAGAAGUCAGAAAAACACAGGCAAUGUUAACCAAUGUUACAGAGACAUUCAGCCUUGCAGAACGUUUGUCCAAGUUCUCGUUAUGGUCCAAAGCAGUCAAAGCUGUAGCACGUCUCAUAAGAAGGGCCAAGAAAGUUAAAUCAGAUGCGCCGGCUACAGUGAGUGAACAAGAAAGUGCAGUACAUGUCAUCAUUCAGGAUGUACAAAAACACACGUAUGGAAAGGAGAUAAAGCUAUUAAACAAAGGCAAUCAGCUCCCACACCACAACAAACUGUUCCACUUAGACAUUUUCAGGGACACGGAUGGUCUCAUCAAGGUCGGAGGGAGACUUUCAUCUAGCAAAGACUCUUUCAAACACCCUAUCGUGAUUCCAAAAGAACAUCACGUGACUAAACUCAUAAUAGCUCACUGUCACGACAAAGUAAAACACCAAGGAAAAGGCUUCACCACAAACGAGAUCAGAUCCAGCGGCUACUGGAUCCCCGGGAUGAGCAGAACCGUUGCUUCUUUCAUCCGCCAGUGUAUCAUUUGUCGUAGACUUCGCAAGGCUCCGGAGGGUCAGAGAAUGAGCGACCUGCCAGCAGAACGCUUGGAGCCCUCUCCACCCUUCACAUAUUGCGGUAUGGACUGUUUCGGCCCUUUUGUAACUACAGAAGGCCGAAAACAACAUAAACGGUAUGGACUUUUGUUCACUUGUUUUUGCUCUCGCGCCAUUCACAUCGAGCUGUUAGAAGACCUAUCCACUGACACAUUCAUUAAUGCACUAAGGUGUUUCAUUUCUAUCAGAGGUGAAAUUCGACAAAUCCAGUGUGAUCAGGGAACAAACUUUGUUGGCGCAAAGAAUGAGUUUAAAACUGCCCUAAGUGAACUGGACACUCAAAGACUGAGUACUUAUCUGUCCCAAAAGCAGUGCGACUUUGUGAUGAACGCACCACACUCCAGUCACGCAGGUGGAGUGUGGGAACGCCAGAUAAGGACUGUCAGAAGUGUAUUGAAUACUACUCUGUCACUUGCACAUGGUAGAUUAAAUGAUGCUUCACUAAGGACUUUAUUUUAUGAAGCUAUGGCCAUAGUAAACAGUCGCCCACUGACUGUAGACAACCUUAACAGCCCUGACAGCUUGGAGCCGCUUACCCCUAACCAUCUGCUCCACAUGAAAUCCAGCACAACACUGCCCCCACCUGGUGUCUUCUCAAAAGAGGACCUCUAUGGAGCAAAGAGAUGGCGUCGUGUGCAGUUUUUGACUGAGCAGUUCUGGUGCAGAUGGAGGCGUGAGUAUCUGCAAAACAUUAUUGCCAGACAGCGCUGGCACUCACCAAAAAGAAAUCUAAGAGAAGGUGACAUUGUGUUGGACAUUGACGAACUGUCACCCAGAGGUGAAUGGAGACUCGCCAGAGUCCUGGAGACCAUUAGCAGCAAGGACGGACUCGUGCGAAGAGUGAAAAUCUCCUUUGGAGACAGGAGACUGAACAACAAAGGUCAACGCAGUAAUAAGCUCACUAGUGUAGAGCGUCCUGUGCAAAAGCUAAUUCUGAUAUUAGAAUGUUCAUGA
rnacentral:lncRNA from 1 species